AGCCCGCACUAAUCCAUGCGUACUCGCCCACACAAGGGCCGCCCUCCCGGGGGCGGCAAGUAUUCAGCGCGAGUGGGAAAUUCGGUGGUUUACCCCGUCCCGCCCCCCACAGUUCGCCGUGGGGGGUCGUAACCGCCGGCGUGCGACAGCCCGCUGUUGCCCGCCGGCUCCUCCUGAGAGGUCUUCUGGGCGUGAAAGCGCCGGGCAGUUCCACAAGAAAUUACUGCUGGGCCUCCCCUACUCGUGGGGAGGGGCCCGGCAAUGGGAGCGUUCUGCGGACGAUUGGCCCGGCGACCCCCCCGCGGGCCGCCGGACUGUUGAGUGCAAUGCAUGGAUCCCAGCCGCCCGGCUGGGAAACUCGAUACCGAUCAUUAUGCCGGCU
rnacentral:RNase_P_RNA from 1 species